GAUGAACGCUGGCGGCGUGCUUAACACAUGCAAGUCGAACGGUGAAGCAGGAGCUUGCUCCUGUGGAUCAGUGGCGAACGGGUGAGUAACACGUGAGCAAUCUGCCCUGGACUCUGGGAUAAGCGUUGGAAACGACGUCUAAUACCGGAUACGAGGCGUGGGGGCAUCCCCAACGCCUGGAAAGAACUUCGGUCCAGGAUGAGCUCGCGGCCUAUCAGGUAGUUGGUGAGGUAACGGCUCACCAAGCCUACGACGGGUAGCCGGCCUGAGAGGGUGACCGGCCACACGGGGACUGAGACACGGCCCAGACUCCUACGGGAGGCAGCAGUGGGGAAUAUUGCACGAUGGGCGCAAGCCUGAUGCAGCAACGCCGCGUGAGGGACGACGGCCUUCGGGUUGUAAACCUCUUUUAGCAGGGAAGAAGCGAAAGUGACGGUACCUGCAGAAAAAGCACCGGCUAACUACGUGCCAGCAGCCGCAGUAAAAC
rnacentral:rRNA from 1 species